AUUGAACGCUGGCGGCAGGCCUAACACAUGCAAGUCGAACGAGUGGCGGACGGGUGAGUAAUGUCUGGGAAACUGCCUGAUGGAGGGGGAUAACUACUGGAAACGGUAGCUAAUACCGCAUACCAUCGGAUGUGCCCAGAUGGGAUUAGCUAGUAGGUGGGGUAAAGGCUCACCUAGGCAAAGAUCCCUAGCUGGUCUGAGAGGAUGACCGGCAAAACUGGAAUGGUGAAACGGUCACGACUCCUAGGGGAGGCGGAAGUGGGGAAGAUUGCACAAGGGGCGAAAGCCUGAUGCAGCCAUGCCGCGUGUAUGAAGAAGGCCUGCGGGUUGUAAAGUACUUUCAGCGGGGAGGCGUUACCCGCAGAAGAAGCACCGGCUAACUCCGUGCCAGCAGCCGCGGUAAAAC
rnacentral:rRNA from 1 species